ACUAUGCGAACCACUUUCUGCGCCAUAGUUAUUCGCGCGUGAGGAAGUCGCAAGCGAGCUCGCCUCCGAGCACGUUGUUCAAGAACGACGCCAGUUUCACGGUUGCGUCGACGAACCCGAGCUCAAGCAUUGGACCUGUCAGUGUGAGAUCAAAGAACUACCCUGCUCACGGUUGGUACAGAACCGGCACUUCCAUCUACAUCAUCCGCAUCUACUGGCGCAUAGUCCCCGGUCUCGACGGCCAACCCGGAUCUGUGUCUUUCCAGUCGGUCACUGACAGCAAUAGAUACAUCCGUCAUGAGAGUUUCUUGUUAUACGAACGCACUAAUGAUGGAACGAGCGCCUUCAAGAAGGCCGCCACGUUUUAUGAGCGCAAAAAUCAUUUCUACAGCGGGUAUGAUGCCUAUGAGAGCGUUGACAAUCUGAAUUGUUUUAUCCGUCAUGCUUACUCUCGCUUCCAAAUUGCCAAUAAUGAUGGGUCGACACUCUUCAAGAAAGACGCCAGUUUUAAGACAGCAGUUGCUGAAUAAAAGUGCAAGAAAAGUGCAGAUUGGCUUGAAACGAUUUGACUGACAUAAACAAGACAUUGUACAUGUAGUAAAUGUUGUUACACGUAUAGAAAAUUGUUGCUUGC